UCUCUCUGGCUUUGGUUUUGAAAUCCUCGAUCACUUUUCGAAACAGGGUCACCGUGAAGAGGCCGCCCUCGUUGUCCUCGGCAAUCAGUCUGGUGGAGAGAAGCAUCUGUUCACCGGGAGCCUCCGCACACCCGAGGUCCAGCCGCCAGGGGACAUUCACCUGCAAUCGCUUGCUUCAUGCCCAGUGGAACUCGGGCUCCAGACAGGUCAUGGUAUUUUUAGCACAUGGUUCAAGGCUAUUGCAGCAGCAGAUGGGCCAAGGGACAGCUCGGAGACCAUCUGUAGCCUGGGCGCCCUGGCCACGGUUAUCAGCUGAUGUAUUAGCUCUGGCGAACGGCUCUCAAGCACUCGGCCAAGGCCAAGGCCUCAGGGCCUGGCAUAAAGCCUGAGAGUGUAGUAGGUGCUUAAUACACGUUUAUCGGAAGAAGAAUAACGAACAAAGGAGGCAGGAACAGCUUCCCCCCAUCCCCCUUCACUCAGGGGAGUGAUCAAUAGAUCAGCACUGCG